ACUCCUACGGGAGGCAGCAGUGGGGAAUAUUGCACAAUGGGCGCAAGCCUGAUGCAGCCAUGCCGCGUGUAUGAAGAAGGCCUCGGGUUGUAAAGUACUUUCAGCAGUGAGGAAGGCAGGUACGUUAAUAGCGUGCUUGUUUGACGUUAGCUGCAGAAGAAGCACCGGCUAACUCCGUGCCAGCAGCCGCGGUAAUACGGAGGGUGCGAGCGUUAAUCGGAAUUACUGGGCGUAAAGCGCAUGCAGGUGGUUUGUUAAGUCAGAUGUGAAAGCCCGGGGCUCAACCUCGGAAUUGCAUUUGAAACUGGCAGACUAGAGUACUGUAGAGGGGGUAGAAUUUCAGGUGUAGCGGUGAAAUGCGUAGAGAUCUGAAGGAAUACCGGUGGCGAAGGCGGCCCCCUGGACAGAUACUGACACUCAGAUGCGAAAGCGUGGGGAGCAAACAGGAUUAGAUACCCUGGUAGGAUAGCG
rnacentral:rRNA from 1 species